CCACUGUAGAAUUCAUGCGAUUGGGCAUCACUUUAUCUGCCAUAGUUCAAGGCUAUGGCAACCUGGAAUGUGUAGCUUGGUGAGGCACCACACUCUUUGGUAGAAGAGGCUAAAGCUGAAAACUUCAGCUCCCAGGAUUCCAUAGCCUGGAGCCAUGGCAGUUCUAAGGGAUGCUCAAUUGCAUUCGUUCUGCAGUGUAGAUGCGCCCUUUGACUUAGGAAUGGGAGGGAGCUGGCGCCCAGGCAAGGGCCCGAGGAAAGAGGCAGCCGCUUCUUGCUGCAAUUGCUGCUGCUUUAAGGAUCUGUGUAGCAAUGGCAGCAAUGGGGCCGCUGGGCAGUACCAGGCUGCUGUGUGACAAGCACCAGUUGCCUCCCAGGCGCGAGCUGUGAUUGGUGUUUCCCGGGAGACGGGAUGGCUGAGCUCCUAGGCUGGCUGGCGCGCGCGCGCUCUUUCCCUCCUCCUCUUCCUCCUCCUGAUGAAGAUCCUGCCUCCUUUAGGGCAGCGCAGCAUCUCCCCUGUCCUUUGCCUUGUCAGGUUCCACCCUGGUUCGAAACUCUAAGAGGUUAUCUCCUGAUCUCAGUUUCCAGUUCUCCAAAUCUUAGAGCUUGUGGUCAUCCUGAGUUGGCAAGUGACACCACUGAAGAUGUCCAAAAUGCACAGAACAAAAGAAUUGCUGUUCCAUGUGAUAGACUUUGAGAGCUGCGGGGAUGUGGCACAUGAAGAACUGUGACAUUUGACUACAGCUUCAAGAUUUUGUGAAAAAUUCCCAUGGUUAAUUUCUGCAGCUAACAAAUAUUCAGCCAUAAUUCUGAGAAUUGCCCUAAGGAAUCGGCAAGCCUUCACUGGGAAUGUUAAUUAUCACUGGGUAAAAUGUAAUGUAUAUGCACUGUACAUAUCCUAUGAAAUUGUGGUAUAUAUUAAAAGUUAUUAUUUCAUGUUUAUUUCAAAACUAUUGCAACUGAGUUCAGUAGAACAUUUUCUCAUGUAAAUACAUAUAGGUUGUACUGUUGGCAUGAAAUAAGAAUUAAAGAUUCAGCUGUUUGCUGAUCGAUUUUAGUGAGCCUGAUCAACUCCAUCUUGACAAUAGCUGACAUCUUCACAUGACCUGUAUUGUUUUGCUGAGCCCUGUCAUUUGUGCUAUGCUAUAAAUGCUGUAAGUGCAUUAUUACAUGCCCAGGGGCAACAACAAAAAGUUAUGGUUACAUACAGUGCCUGAGAACAUCCUCAUAAACAACAAACAAUCUCUGAAUACAUCCAGUGCUGGCCACAAAGAACUCAGGUAACAAUUGCUAAAUAUGCAUUAGAUAUUUCUCAUGCACAUUUUGUUGUUGUCUGCAUAAUUAUGACAUUCUAUAAAAUGCUGAUGCCUGAGAUAAAUGUUAUCUGUCUCACUAGUGUUGUGAAUAGGUUGGAUUGAAACCAGUGCUGGGACUUGGUAGGUCCUUUGGCCAAAGCUAUUGUCUGUUGGUUUACCUUCCUACUCAGUUUCAGUCCUUAUCCAAGCUUUGUGUCCCAUCUUGGAGAAUGCAAGAGGGUUAAUACUUCCAUUCUGCAGUCCUGGGCUCACUUACCUGGGAGUAAUCCCCAAAGCUCAAUGGAAACAACUUCUGAGUAGGCACAUAUGGGAUGUUAAAACAAGAAAUGUACAUCAUACUUACACAUUAAAUUAAAAAAAUACAUUUUCUACAUUCACUCCUCAAGAUAUCAAAGAUAUAACAGAGUUUAAUAUUUUUUUAUAUAAGUGUUUAAAAAUAAUUAGGUAUUACAGAGCAGAAGGUGACCAGCAAGUUGUUUUCUUAGGAGGGAUGACUGAAAUGGCUGCUUGGAAUGAUUCUUAGAAUAAUCCCAGCAUGAUGCCUUCUCUGCCAAUCUAAGGUAAUUCUGCUGAAAGGCAAGAAAUCCAAAGUGAUGUAUGUCCAGCUGGUUGUGUGUUGACAGUGUCAGGCCUGGCAAAUGUCCAUCUGCCUGAAGCCAAAAGAACAGGGAGGAUGAAUAAACCCACAGACUCCAUCACUACAAAGCACAAUAAAUGCGAACUUAUUUUUCAUGGGAUUUUCAGUCCAUGGACUAGAUGCAGUAUAUAAAGUCUCACCAUGCCUUCCAAUAAUGUCUAGAGGUUACUGGCAAUCAAAGUGUGCCAUUAGUUUUGUUAAACCCUAUCUGGUGUGAGAGACUGAGCCAGCAUACCAUGCAGAGGAGAAGGAAAUGCAAUCAUAUAAUAAAUCACAUUUGAGGAAAACAAAUUAUAAAAUUAAUUGCUCAUUCUCUUCUUUAAAAAUGAGACUAACAUGCAAGAGUUAACAAAAAGGUAAGUACUUUCUGUUGCCAACACAGACAAAAGAUUUAAUCUUUUUGACCAUCACACUGGUAAAUGCCAAAGUGUAUAUCAAUUACAGUUUACAGAACUACAUUUGUAUAGUACUGCAUUAGAAUCUGGUCCACUGAGACUGUUCUCGUGAGUUAGAGAAGUACAAUUUCACAACAUAUAUGUUGAUAUCUAGCUGUUUCCAUUAAAAUGUGCUGUAAAUAUAUAUAUUUAAAAUGUUUUAACCAUACCAUAGCUGCAAAUGCAGUGAGGUCUGAGGUUUAUCUUCCUCCAUCUGAGUCUGCUUCCUUGAGGUUACAUAAAUUAUGUAUACCCCCUUCACUUCAUAUAACAACCUGCUCCCUGAAAGAUAUUAAUUAUUAUGUAAUAACUUCUACUAAUUGUUUCUCCCCUCUGAGUAUUUCAAAAAAUAUUGGUUGCAUUGACAAUAGUGUGAAGAAGUAAAAGAUAAUUAAUGGUUGUUAACUUGUCAGUGAUACAAAAUGUAACACUUGGUUUCUACUUACAAUUCUAUAGAGAGAAAGUCAGAAAUGGUUUUUUUUUGGUCAUUUUGUAAAGGAAAAUAUGUAAUUGACAAUGGUAUUGCAUAAAUAAUAUUCAUAAGAUUAUUUAUAAAUAUAGCCUCAACAAGGUUGUUGAGUUUCUGGGGAAAUA
ensembl:lncRNA